UUUAGUGUUCUUGUUUUUGGACGCGUGGUGUUUGUCCUUAAAAACGGAAAAGACCAGCUAUUCUUGGGGAGAUUUUUUCAUCUUCUUCCUUUCCCCCUUUUUCCCUUUCUCUGUUGAACAUACUUAUGCAUGAGUAGCUUUGCAGAAAUCUUAUUAGAUGGAGACACAGAGAAAUUGGUUUUGGAAGAUGGGGAACGGUAGAGGAUUUGUUUGAGAAAUCAAAUGAAUCGAGCUUGGAAUAUUAUUGAUUCGUUGUUGCUAAUCUUUGUGUCGUUUGCAUGGAAGGUAUGGAACUUCCUCUUUAUCUAAUUCUACUAAAUUUAAGUUAGUUGUGUUUGGAUCUGUUUUUCUUGAAUUGAAUAUGGGUUGUUGAAGUUUCUAUGUAUUAAACCAAUGGGUAGCUAGCAAAGAGCAUCAAUUAUAUGAUUUGAUGAGUUCAUAUGGAAAUUUUGAAAUUUAGGGUUCUUCAAGAAAAUUAGAGAUUUUAUAUAAUCUUUUAUUUAAUCAUCAAUUCAGGCAAAACUAUAAGAUGGGUUUGUAGUGUUUCAAUACUAAUCAUGUUCAUGUGUGAGCUGGUGAACAGGAAGCUUGGUUUGGAUGAUGGAACCGUAAUUUGAGUUUUGAAUUUCAUUGAUCUGACAUAUAAAUUGAGUCAUAAAAUGAGAUCUAACCGUUGAAAUCUUAUGAUUUUUGAAUAUGUUAUACAUUAGAAUAUCAGUGAGACUCGCCUAAAAUUUCAUAAUGAUCUGACUUAGGUAAGUGUUAUAAACUGCUGUUUGUCAGAGAACCAUACUGCUGAAUGUAAACUACAUGGGAGAGUUUUUAUACUAAAACGAGGCACUUAGAUUGCAUGGAUUUUGUUAAUUUUCGGAUAUGAGGAACCCAUGUUUGUGAUUACUAAUCUGUAGAAAUUUCAAACAAAAUGUACCGUGGUAAGUACACCAACUAGGGGACUUUCUCCGGUUACGCCUGUGUAGUUCAGUUUGGUUUGAUCAUAUUAAAUAAGUCACAAAUCAACAUCUAACCGUUAGAACUCAACUAAUUUUGGAUAUGUUAUGCAUAGAUAUGUCUGGAAAGCUCGGUUAAAUUUUCGGUAUAAUCGGACCAUUAAAACUGGUAGAAACUUCUGCAGUACAGAGAACCUAUCAUCAGAAUUUGUAUAACGUGGCAAACUGUUUAGGGUUAAAAUGAGGAACUUAUACUACUGGGAUUUAUCUGAUUUUUGGAUAUGAGAAACCCAACUGGGUUAUGUUUCAUAUGUAUAAAUUUCAAAGCAAAUGGAUCAUGGGAAGUACCCCAAACAGGGGACUUUGUACAGUGAUGCCUAUAGGAAUUCAGUCUCGUUUGAGCUUAUAAAAUCACUCGUAACUUGAUAUCUCACUGUUACCUUCCUUUAAAUUGUAUAUACAUUGUAAUGGCUAUAGUUAUGAAUGCUUUGUGAAAAUCUUGUUAUGGUACGAUCCAUGGAUUAUUGUUUUUCUGUUUUAUGAUUGAAGUCAUAUCUCAUGAACUAUAACGGCUGAACUCGAUUGAGUGCUUAUUCUCUUCGAUUAUGUGAAUGACUACUCUCAGAUUUGGUCUCACGGAUUGUUUAGCUGCUAUGUUGAUGAUCAAUUAUUGUAUGAAUUUGUCUUUUGGAAACGUAUGCAACAAAUUACUAUAUGAAAAUGCUAUUUACUGUAACUUGUUAUCAUAAGAGAAAUGUAAACUGGAAGUCCCAGUGCUGACAUGUAAUCAUUAUUAUUACUUGUGGAUUUGUAAAUAAUAGCACCCUUGUUCAAGUUUGGUUUCCGGCACAUUUGAUGUGCAUUUCAA